GACGAACGCUGGCGGCGUGCCUAACACAUGCAAGUCGAACGGAACUGUUUUGAAAGAUUUCUUCGGAAUGAAUUUGAUUUAGUUUAGUGGCGGACGGGUGAGUAACGCGUGAGUAACCUGCCUUCAAGAGGGGAAUAACAUUCUGAAAAGAAUGCUAAUACCGCAUGACAUAUCGGAACCACAUGGUUUUGAUAUCAAGGAUUUUAUCGCUUGAAGAUGGACUCGCGUCCGAUUAGUUAGUUGGUGAGGUAACGGCUCACCAAGACCGCGAUCGGUAGCCGGACUGAGGGGUUGAACGGCCAGAUGGGGACUGAGACACGGCCCAGACUCCUACGGGAGGCAAGGGGGGGGGAUAUUGCGCAAUGGGGGAAACCCUGACGCAAAAACGCCGGGGGAAGGAAGAAUGUUUUCGGAUUGUAAAUUUUUUUUAUGAAGGACGAAAAAUGGCGGUACUUAAGGAAUAAGCGCCGGCUAACUACGU
rnacentral:rRNA from 1 species